CCUUCGAUAGUUCAGUUGGUAGAGUGGAGGUCUGUAGUUCUUGCCAGUAUAGUCAUAUCGCAUUGCUGGUUCAAUUCCAGC
rnacentral:tRNA from 1 species